CACGUAGGGCGCAAGCGUUGUCCGGAAUUAUUGGGCGUAAAGAGCUCGUAGGCGGUCUGUUGCGUCCGCUGUGAAAACUCGGGGCUUAACCCCGAGCCUGCAGUGGAUACGGGCAGACUAGAGGUAGGUAGGGGAGAAUGGAAUUCCCGGUGUAGCGGUGAAAUGCGCAGAUAUCGGGAGGAACACCGGUGGCGAAGGCGACUACCUGGCCUGUUCUUGACGCUGAGGCGCGAAAGCUAGGGGAGCAAACGGG
rnacentral:rRNA from 1 species